AGUUCAGACUGCAGGCUGCAACCCGCCUGCACGAAGUUGGAAUUGCUAGUAAUCGCGGAUCAGCAUGCCGCGGUGAAUACGUUCCCGGGCUUUGUACACACCGCCCGUCAAACCAUGAAAGUUUGGGGAACACCCCGAAGUCAGUGAGCUAACCGCAAGGAGGCAGCUGCCGAAGGUGGGUCCAAUGAUUGGGGUUAAGUCGUAACAAGGUACC
rnacentral:rRNA from 1 species